UUGCUGCUUCGCUGACGAGUGGCGGACGGGUGAGUAAUGUCUGGGAAACUGCCUGAUGGAGGGGGAUAACUACUGGAAACGGUGGCUAAUACCGCAUAACGUCGCAAGACCAAAGAGGGGGACCUUCGGGCCUCUUGCCAUCAGAUGUGCCCAGAUGGGAUUAGCUUGUUGGUGAGGUAACGGCUCACCAAGGCGACGAUCCCUAGCUGGUCUGAGAGGAUGACCAGCCACACUGGAACUGAGACACGGUCCAGACUCCUACGGGAGGCAGCAGUGGGGAAUAUUGCACAAUGGGCGCAAGCCUGAUGCAGCCAUGCCGCGUGUAUGAAGAAGGCCUUCGGGUUGUAAAGUACUU
rnacentral:rRNA from 1 species